rnacentral:rRNA from 1 species
UACGGGGGGAGCAAGCGUUGUUCGGAUUUACUGGGCGUAAAGGGCGUGUAGGCGGCUCGAUAAGUCUGCUGUGAAAGUCCAAGGCUCAACUUUGGAAAGCCGGUGGAUACUGUCGAGCUCGAGUCCGGAAGAGGCGAGUGGAAUUCCUGGUGUAGCGGUGAAAUGCGCAGAUAUCAGGAGGAACACCAAUGGCGAAGGCAGCUCGCUGGGACGGUACUGACGCUGAGACGCGAAAGCGUGGGGAGCAAACAGG